GUUUUUCCUCCACUAAAAAAGUACGAAUCAUUCGCAUUCUCACUCUGAGAGCUCUGAUAUUCUUCUUGCUUUACUAGCUUGUUGACCUUUAUCUCAUCUUCACGUCGGAGUUUUUUGUAGUGGUCUUACCUCCGCCAGUAACGUUUGUUCUCUUGUGCAGACCAUUAUCAAGGUCAUAACCGAGGUUAAUACUGAGCUCACGAGCAAUUUUAACUAUUGGUUGCUUGCUCCCAAAUUUCUACCACAACACCAUACCAAGUGAUAAUGAUUAUUCUGUUACUAACCAUUUCAUUUCAUCCAAGCCCGCACAACACAAAGCUGUAUUUUCUAUUUAAGUCUCAAAACUCCUCAGCUUAUUAAAGACAGUGAUGGAACAAUUGAGUGGCCAGAAACUUAAUAUUUAACUUGUAGAACUAAGGUUUUCUAUUUAAAUCUCUCAAUUUGAGAACCCACGAAGAGAUAAAAGAGAAAAUGUUUAGUGAAUUAGUUGAAGAAAUGAGUGAAGGCAGAUCGAUCCAAGAAACAAGUAAAUACAUGAUUUUUCUUAUUGCAGCUGUUCAGUGAGGGCAAAGAUCACGAUAUAUUGGUAUGGUUCUAAAAUUUUAAAAAAUAUAGGGAUCAAUUUAGUUUUUAAUUUGACUCAAAAGUGAACCAAUUCGAAAUGAUUACUUCCCUAUUGUUGUUAACAUUGCAUGAACCGAUCGACGUGUUGCCAACGUGGCAAACCCACACCAAUUGCUUGAAUGGUGCGCUUCAAUUGGAGUGGUUUUAGGGUUUGGUUGUGGUGACAUGGUGCUCCUGAGUAAUGCAUGUAUAAUUUGUCGAUAUUUGAAGGGAUGUUAGUAUAAUUUGUUUUCCUUCCAAUCUUGUUACAAACUUUGUGUAGUUAUUUUUUCUUUUUAAAUGAUGUGCUUCACUAUUAUUUGUGACUCUGAAUCACGUUCCAAACACGAUGUACACAAGUACGUAUCCAAUUAGAGCACAUUAUAAUAAACUAUGGCCAAAUUUGGAAUUUUUUUCAAGGGGACCAAAUGGGAAAAUAAUAGUACUUUUAAGGGAGAAAGUUAAAUUUCAUCAAAAAAAAAAAAAAACGAUCCGGCUUAUUGCCAGUACUAUUUUGAACUGGUCCAGUAUGGUUCAAGUAUAUUAGGUUCCAAUUUGUGCAUAUAUUUAUUAUCUAAACCAUAUAUAUACUGUUGACCUAAUCAAUAAAUUUAAUACUAUAAAAAAUAUAUUAAUUGAAUAUAUAUUAAUGUUAAAUCAAUAUGAUAUAAUUCUGUGUACCAUAUUCAUUUAUUAAGUUAUAAAAACAAUACACAGUAUACAUUUUUACAAUAAGUCUACAAUAUAAACUCAAAAAAAAGUACCAAAUAUUUGAAGGGUAUUUUCGGUAAUAAAAAACUGUGCCAGAAACUACCAAAUCUGUCAAGGGCAUUUUGUAAUAACAAAUCCCAAAGGGAACCUAGGGGUUUCUUGUAAUCGUCGCUUCGACUAUAUAAACUCAUCGGCGCCGCAUCAGUUCGCCAGUUUUCAUCGUUAAGAGACCCACGAUCCCUUCUGCAAAGGUUAGAUCUUUUAUUAUUUUCUGCGUAUGUGAGUUUCGAUGGGUUUUUCUGAGUCGCUCUUUUGAAGUUUGUUUAUUUAAUCUUAGAGAGUUUGUCAGCAGUUUAGGUGACGAGAAUUAUACCAUCAAACUCUGAAACCUACGAGUGGUGGAUGUUUUCCAAAUCAUUAAUCCCCGAGCCUUUGUUUCCAAAUCCUUUGAAACACGUUUGAUUGAUACUGCUUUGAUGCAAUAGUUGAUGACCCAUUUUUUGGCAACAAAUUAGAGUCUCUGAUGCGCCUCUAUCCCGUAGCGUUUUCAGCGCUGUACGUGCCUAUUAUAUAGCGAAAAACGAAGCGGGAGGAUCUGGCAUUUUGACUUUUGUUUUUGCACCAGGUUUAUGCAUUCAGAUGCUUUCACAUUUUAAUCCUUCUUUUUCAUUGAUUGUGACUCGAGUAUUAAUCAAGGAAUGUUGUGUUUCUUGUUGUCAAUUUGGGACUUAAUUCAUGAGUUAGGUAUGUUUUGAAAAAUGUUGUCAAUUUGGGACCUGGGUUCAUGUAUCGACACGAGCCCUCUUCUUGAAGAAAAAAAUGUGGCGACCCACAAAUGGAUUUUGGUUAGAAUCAUCGGAGAAAAAAUAAAUAAUUCUGUUGAUUACAUUUGAGUAAUUAAACGCUUUCACAAUUAGUAAGCUGAAUUUAUUGUCAUAAUCCUCAUUUUCCAACAAAGUUGAUCUAUUUAAACCAUUAUCAUGAGCUAGAACAUAAAUAUACUCCUGAAAAAUAAGUGGAUAUACGAAAUUGUGUUGCUUAUCCAGUUCUAAAUAUCUUUUGAAUUCCUUCAUUUGAAAUAAAAAUAGAACCAAAGAUAGAAGAUUUUAGGGUUAUUAGAUGAUUCAUAGUGUGACACUGUCAAAACAAGGUAUUGGUAGUAAGAAAAAAAUAGACGUCUGUACUU
rnacentral:lncRNA from 1 species